rnacentral:rRNA from 1 species
GACGAACGCUGGCGGCGUGCCUAAUACAUGCCAGUAGAACGCUGAAGAGAGGAGCUUACUCUUCUUGGAUGAGUUGCGAACGGGUGAGUAACGCGUAGGUAACCUGCCUUGUAGCGGGGGGUAACUAUUAGAAACGAUAGCUCAUACCGCAUAACAAUGGAUGACACAUGUCAUUUCUUUGAACGGGGCAAUUGCUCCACUACAAGAUGGACCUGCGUUGUAUUAGCUAGUAGGUGAGGUAAUGGCUCACCUAGGCGACGAUACAUAGCCGACCUGAGAGGGUGAUCGGCCACACUGGGACUGAGACACGGCCCAGACUCCUACGGGAGGCAGCAGUAGGGAAUCUUCGGCAAUGGGGGCAACCCUGACCGAGCAACGCCGCGUGAGUGAAGAAGGUUUUCGGAUCGUAAAGCUCGGUUGUAAGUCAAGAACGGGUGUGAGAGUGGAAAGUUCACACUGUGACGGUAGCUUACCAGAAAGGGACGGCUAACUACGUG